rnacentral:lncRNA from 1 species
UCACUAAGAAAGAAGAUGCCCUACUUUUUGCUGACAGUUGUGCACAACCAGCUCUUACUUUCCCUACAUUUCUCUGAGCUGGUCUCACGAGUUGAAGAGAGGCAGGAUUUGAGCAGAGGAGCAGAUUUUCAAGUCCAAGAACUGAAAUCCAACUCCUAAAUCAGAAGAUUCUCCGAAGGGGACAAGAAAUACAUUAACGAGUACAGAGGACAUUUUUUACUAAGAGGAAAGAGUUUUUUGAGCUGCUCUGAGAGAAGAAAUCUCUCAGGCUGAAUUCAGACAAGCUUUUAAGUACUAAUCAACUCAAAAGGUUUGAGUUCAAUGAGACAUUUCACAUGCUUAAGCUGAGACUUUUUUAAUUACCUGGUUGAGCUGAAGUCAAGGAUACUUUGCAAUCAAUAGCAUAAUGAAGAGCUUAAGAGAAGCAUAUGAAAUAUUGUCUAUUAUUUUAGGAGGAUCUUGAACAAUAGAUGCAGAAGCCAAUGUAAC